UACCAGCACCCCGAGUGGUCGGGACGAUUAUUGGGCCUAAAGCAUCCGUAGCCGGUUUUACAAGUCCCCCGUUAAACCCAGCUGCUUAACAGAUGGGCUGCGGAGGAUACUAUAAGACUAGGAGGCAGGAGAGGCAAGCGGUACUCAGUGGGUAGGGGUAAAAUCCGUUGAUCCAUUGAAGACCACCAGUGGCGAAGGCGGCUUGCCAGAAUGCGCUCGACGGUGAGGGAUGAAAGCUGGGGGAGCAAACCGG
rnacentral:rRNA from 1 species